CUUUAUAUCACAGAUAGAUAUUACAUUUUAUCAUUUGUUUACAGCGUUCCCCUAUGUAUUCUAAUUAUUCCUUCAUCACCCUCAUCAUCUUCGCUCUCUGUACUCUCAUGCCAUGAUCCCGUACAGCAAAUUCAUUUUAACCCAUUCACUGCCAAACAGAUGUAGAAAUUUUUGCUACAGUAUGACGUUUUCUCGCCUGUUUUGGGUCUGGUGCUAAUAUUUUGACUGUGUCCAAUGUUGAAUGAAAUGGUGGCAUCUUAUUACAGUCUAUCAGUCAGUUCUGCUCGCUGUCACCUUAACUGGAACCAUGAAAACAAGUCACAGCGAACAGACCAACAUGCAUUUUUAUCAGCACUGCCACUGCCUACAGUAGGUACUUGCACCAGCCCAUAAAACCUCUCGUCUUCAUCUUUUCCAAGUGCGUUUUUAUUGAUCCUUUGCUUUUCCUUUGACCCAGUCUGCUUGCAAUCUGUCCCCCUCCUCUGUAUGAAAAUGUAGGAGAAUGGCUGCUCCCCAGGCUGAAUAAUGACAUAUUGAGUGUUUAAAGGUCUUUGGCUUGCAGAUCUGGGUAAGUCACAGAUUUAUUUUUAAUUUUUAGAUGCCUGGUAUUUCCAAGCUAAUCACUAAUAAAUAUUACAAUAUGCACCUUUUUUUAUCUGACCACAAAACUGAUAUCCACUUCUCAUUGAUUACAGGAAAGAGAAGUUGAGUUAGGGAACUGCUUCUGAUGCCUUUAAAGAAAUAAGAGACGUUUGAAUGGCUUGUUGAUUGAUGUGCAGUCUGGUUCUCUGGGAGAAAGAAGUGUUUCAAUACAAGUGGCCAGGUCACCUAGUCAUGGCGACAGGUCUAAAGGGAUCUGCGCCUGGAAGCGUACAGAGGGGCGCAGCCGGCGAUUGUUUGCGAUGUUAGGAGAUCGCAACCCUCUUGAGGUUUUUCAGAAGGUCGUGAAGAAGUUCGUGUUUGGGGAGAGUAGCUGUAAGUGCUGAGGCCCCUUCAAUAUCCCAACCUCAAAUACCCAGAUAUUAAAUAAUAAAUGAUUGCAAAACCAUCAGUUUGUAAACGAAAACACAGUCUGGCCUUCCACUUGCUCUAUCAGGGAUAUUCACAUUUUUUAGGACGCAGAGAAGAGUUUAUUUCUGCAAGUUCUGAGAAAAGCAUUCAUAUAUAUAUAUAUAUAUAUAUAUAUAUAUAUAUAUAUAUAUAUAUAUAUAUAUAUAUAUAUCCAUUUCUUAUAGGUACCUGUUUAUCUUAUUAUUUUUUUGCAUUACAUGUGCCCAGUAGUGAUAUAUAUAUAUAUAUAUAUAUAUAUAUAUAUAUAAAAGAGCUCAGGUCAUUAAGUAAAGCUAUUAUAUGUGACUGUAUUACACAGCGACAUCCUUUGCUGAAAAUUAAAUGCUUUCUGUCUGUAAAUUGAGUUCUAUUAAAAAUAUUCAAAGUCAUCAAAUGCAAA